GGUUUCUGCUAAGUCGCAAGACGAUGUAUAGGAGCUGACGCCUGCCCGGUGCUGGAAGGUUAAGGGGAUCUGUUAGAGCAAUCGAAGCAGUGAACUUAAGCCCCAGUAAACGGCGGCCGUAACUAUAACGGUCCUAAGGUAGCGAAAUUCCUUGUCGGGUAAGUUCCGACCCGCACGAAAGGCGUAACGAUUUGGGCACUGUCUCAACAACAGACUCGGUGAAAUUGUAAUUCCGGUGAAGAUGCCGGAUACCUGCGACAGGACGGAAAGACCCCAUGGAGCUUUACUGUAGCUUGACAUUGGGUCUUGGUACUACAUGUACAGGAUAGGUGGGAGGCUUUGAAACCAGGACGCCAGUUUUGGCGGAGCCAUCCUUGGGAUACCACCCUUGUAGUACUGGGACUCUAACCAUAGGCCAUGAAUCUGGUCUUGGGACACUGUCAGGUGGGCAGUUUGACUGGGGCGGUCGCCUCCCAAAAGGUAACGGAGGCGCUCAAAGGUUCUCUCAGUACGGUCGGAAAUCGUACGUAGAGUGUAAAGGC
rnacentral:rRNA from 1 species